rnacentral:rRNA from 12 species
AGCUAUCGCCGGUAGGAUUAUGCCUGAACGCCUCUAAGUCAGAAUCCAUGCUGGAAAGCGACGAUAUUCACCUCUUCCGAUGUGACGCGUAUCGCGGUAGGCCUCCGGGCUCAGCAUCGUAUUUUCAUCGCAAUUUCAAACGUUGGAAGAGAUAAAUCCAUUGCAGACGACUUUGUUCCGAACGGGGUAUUGUAAGCAUGAGAGUAG